rnacentral:lncRNA from 1 species
CGGAAACAGUUCGCAGACAUUUGCCAUCUCAGAGCCCAGAGCAGGACAGGAGCUCUGAGCACACACUUGGACUCUUUCCCCCGGAGAGGGGAACGUUUACUCUGCCAGAGUAUUUCAGUUGACUGUGGCUCUUUGGCCAGCAUCAGUCAAUGUCAGGUGAAUGGAGUUGCCAGUGAAAGCAUCAGAGCUGGCCUUGAGCACAUGAAGUAAAGGAAGCAAACUGGGAGGGCAGAGUACGGUGGUGACCGGAACGCAGAACGUGGCGUCCACGUAAGAACGUCAGACACUUCUCACCACAGAAUAAUCAAGGCUGGUGACUUCAGAGUUUGCCCUGGGAGUUUCUGAAGAUUGGAAUUUCUUCAUGCAGCCAGAAUCUAUCACUCAAGUGGUGACUACAACAUGUGAUGAGGAGGCCCAUGGCAGGUGAAAGGCCAGCUGGAGACAAGAUCAGG